rnacentral:rRNA from 1 species
GCCCCAGUAAACGGCGGCCGUAACUAUAACGGUCCUAAGGUAGCGAAAUUCCUUGUCGGGUAAGUUCCGACCUGCACGAAUGGCGUAAUGAUGGCCAGGCUGUCUCCACCCGAGACUCAGUGAAAUUGAACUCGCUGUGAAGAUGCAGUGUACCCGCGGCAAGACGGAAAGACCCCGUGAACCUUUACUAUAGCUUGACACUGAACAUUGAGCCUUGAUGUGUAGGAUAGGUGGGAGGCUUUGAAGUGUGGACGCCAGUCUGCAUGGAGCCAACCUUGAAAUACCACCCUUUAACGUUUGAUGUUCUAACCUAGGCCCAUAAACUGGGUCGGGGACCGUGUCUGGUGGGUAGUUUGACUGGGGCGGUCUCCUCCUAAAGAGUAACGGAGGAGCACGAAGGUUGGCUAAGCAUGGUCGGACAUCAUGCGGUUAGUGCAAAGGCAUAAGCCAGCUUGACUGCGAGAGUGACGGCUCGAGCAGGUACGAAAGUAGGUCUUAGUGAUCCGGUGGUUCUGAAUGGAAGGGCCAUCGCUCAACGGAUAAAAGGUACUCCGGGGAUAACAGGCUGAUACCGCCCAAGAGUUCAUAUCGACGGCGGUGUUUGGCACCUCGAUGUCGGCUCAUCACAUCCUGGGGCUGAAGUAGGUCCCAAGGGUAUGGCUGUUCGCCAUUUAAAGUGGUACGCGAGCUGGGUUUAGAACGUCGUGA